rnacentral:rRNA from 1 species
CCCGCACAAGCGGUGGAGCAUGUGGUUUAAUUCGAAGCAACGCGAAGAACCUUACCAGGUCUUGACAUCCCCUGACAACCCGAGAGAUCGGGCGUUCCCCUUCGGGGGACAGGGUGACAGGUGGUGCAUGGUUGUCGUCAGCUCGUGUCGUGAGAUGUUGGGUUAAGUCCCGCAACGAGCGCAACCCUUGUCUUUAGUUGCCAUCAUUAAGUUGGGCACUCUAAAGAGACUGCCGGUGUCAAACCGGAGGAAGGUGGGGAUGACGUCAAGUCCUCAUGGCCUUUAUGACCAGGGCUACACACGUACUACAAUGGCCGGUACAAAGGGCAGCGACACAGCGAUGUGAAGCGAAUCCCGAAAAGCCGGUCUCAGUCCGGAUUGGAGUCUGCAACUCGACUCCAUGAAGUUGGAAUCGCUAGUAAUCGCGGAUCAGCACGCCGCGGUGAAUACGUUCCCGGGCCUU